AUGAGAACUGCCAUGCAAGCGUGGAGACCCAGGCAGCAGCAAAAGGCCCACUGCCCGCAUGCCCUCACGCUUAAUUUUCUCUCUCUUUUUAAAGUUCUCGGCUCUGACUCAGUUCGGCUGCCCAGAAUUUUUUGGUGCCUUCGUGGGGUUUUUGGGGCGGUGUUUACCGAGUCUUCUCUGCCUCCGCCCUACUCAGCCAGGGCUUUGAGCGUCUUCGGUUUUCCAGCCAGACCCGGAAAAACGAAAACACAGCUUGGGGAGCCCCCACUAGCCUGCGCCUGUGCCAGCUCACCUCUGGCCAUGGCGCAGCUGCCGGUGCACACCGCGGCCAAGGCCGGCUCCACAUUCUUCCCUCCCCCUUCCACUUCACCGGAGCCCCGAACCCUGCGCACAGAGAAAGGGCCUCAGCUCCACAGACGACUGGGUCCCUCCUCACCAAAACUGAUGAGACAAGAUUUCAUCUUGUCGGCCGAGGAGCCACAAGCAGCCCAUUCAAAAGAACCUGCAGAAACACAGAGAGACCCAUGAGGAGUCUCUUGCCACUGGGACUAACUCUGCCUGGGAUCCAGAGACCAGAAAUGUUCUAGGAACAGAAAUCAGUGGCAGCCAGAGACGUUCUCCCCAGGUUUCCGGCCCUGCUGGUGGCCCCUCCACCAGGCUCCAUACAGGCAGGAACCCCCAGAAGAGGAAAGGGGCCUGUUAUAGGAGUCAUCAACCUGUCACCACGGCUAGGGUGAAUAUGGCCUCUGAGUUGGGGGGAGGGGGGAGGUUUACUCUUUAGCACCACCAGCUGCAGGGAUGGGGAGGGGCUGUGGAGGGUGGUGUGGGGAGGGGAGGCUGGAGGUGCAGCUGGCCUUCUCUACCCACAGCCCACAGCCUCCUCUGAACAGAUAUUGGGCCAGUAAGGUGCAGUGCUGCGGUGCUAGGCCCUGGCCCCACUUGGCACUAAGAUGAGCAUGGUGGUCCUUACCCUCAGGCAGCCUUCACAUCUAUAAGAAUGUGCAUACAUGCGUGGGUUUGCGUGUGAGGGAAACAUGGAGGGUGACACAGCUACGUAAAUGAUUGCACCGAAGGGAAGGCUGAGAUAAGAACCUAGGGAUGGAGCAGUAUGAACCUGGUGCCAAGAGGUGUGGGGUGUCAGGGUCUGGUUGAGGAUGGGCAGCAAGGAGGCUGAGAUAAUGACCUGGGCAGGCGGAGUGGGGCCGUCCCAGGUGGAGAUGCAAGGAGGAUGCUGGCAACAAGCUCUGGCCCUUGGGCUAGAGGGGAAGGGAGGGUAAAGGAGGCAUUGUGUGGCACUUACCAGGUGCUGUGCUUUGCAGGGAUGAUCUCAUCGAACCCUCACAAUAUCCCCAUGUGGUAGGUACUGGUGUUACCCUAAUUCUACAGAUGAGGAAACAGGCAGAGAAGGUCAGUGACUUGGGCAAGGUCCCGUGGCUGGGUGGCAGAGAGUCUCUGUGAGCUGCUCUGAAAUGGUCCAUAGGAGGAAGCCCAGCACCUGCAGUGAAACCUGGGAAAGGGGAAACUUACUGGGAGGCUUUGAUUCUGAUUUGUGGCCUUGCUUGCUUUAAGAAGGUUCUCAUAAGAAAAAGCUGCACGCAGCCGGGCGCGGUGGCUCACGCCUGUAAUCCCAACACUUUGGGAGGCUGAGGCUGGUGGAUCACCUGAGGUCGGGAGUUCGAGACCAGCCUGAUCAACAUGGAGAAACCCCGUCUCUACUAAAAAUAGAAAAAAAUUAGCUGGGUGUGGCCACGCAUGCCUGUAAUCCCAGCUACUUGGGAGGCUGAGGCAAAAGAAUUGCUUGAACCUGGGAGGUGGAGGUUGCAGUGAGCCAAGAUGGAGCCAUUGCACUCCAGUCUGGGUGACAAGAGCAAAACUCCAUCUCGAAGAAGAAAGAAAGAGAGAGAGAGAGAGAGAGAGAAGAAAAAGCUGCACGCGUCUUACAUUUCCGUAUUUCCCCCGUGCCUCUGCCAGCCCCAUCUUAGAAGAUAUCCGCGAGUGAUGAGAAGUCCCCCUCCUCCCCAGGAUGAGUGAGAGGGCACCAUCGCUGGGGCAAGGGCCCCUAGGCGCAGAAUGCACGGAUCCGAGGGACACACCACCGGACUGACCUGGGGUGGCGGGCGGGGCCGUGCCGCGAGAAACCGCAGCUCCUCGGAGGAGGUCGGGCUGCGGGGCUGGCGGGGACCCUGCAGGCUGGGCCCAGGUGCGGUGAGGCCUCCUCCCGACCUGGCCGCGUCCUCGGAGUUCGCUCGGGGCUUCGGGUUUGCAGAGCCAUCUCCCGCCAGCCUGGCUUGCCCGGCUUGCCCGGGGAUGUGGGGGAUGUGGCAGGACCUGCUCCGCGCGACCGCGGCCCAGUGCAAAGCGUGAUCCACCACCCUCUUCUGCUAGGUGGGAGGAACCUGGGGCUUUGCGCCCCUAACCAGCAGCAUGACCCUCGCGGUCAGGGAACUUCUCAUCUGUGAAGAAAGCUUAAGAAUGACACCACUGAUAGGAGCAUACGUGCUUGCCUGCCCAUAGGGGAUAGGAACAAACGAGAUCACGUAUUCCAUGAACAGGCAUUUAAUGCCCACCUACUGUAUGACAGGCACUGUGCUAGGCACUUAUCUUUUCAUUCUAAAAUAUUAAUUUUACAUCGUGUCCUUUUGGUAUACUUUAUUGAAAUACUAUGUACAAAAAGUGCAGAAGUCAUAAGAUCAUCUAACACCAACAAAUAUUUAUUUUCUUUCAACAAAUAAAUGAUUCUGUAAAACUUACUGGCAAUGUGUGAGGGUAUUGCAUGCUGCAAUAAAGUGUGUCAGUAAGAGGCCUGUUCUCUACAUUUCCUGCUGUUGAGCUGGGAUGGAUUUAUCCCAGUACUUGCUUCUUCUGGGACUGGAGAUGGGUUUUCAGUUCCACUGUCACUGAACACCCUGGCUACCUCCUGUGAUCUCUCUGGAGCUCCUCAGUAGAGUAAGGCGUCUGGCCUUCACACUAAGGACCCUUCCUCCUGUGACUGAUGAGGGUGGCUUGGGAGUAUUUCAGAAAUAAUAGGACAAUUUGCGUGUGGCUUCUUGUAUUUAUGAUUACUAACACAAAUGUUAUUCACACAUUCAUGAUAAUACACAUUUGCAGGUGAAUGGCUUUGGCAGACCUGCUGGAAGAAAUGUGAGGCCUGCGACUCGUCAUGAAACCCCAAGAAGGUUUCACUACUUUACCAACUGAAAAGUUCUCAUAGGUGGCUUUAGAGAAGAGCCUUUCUUCCUGUGCAAAUAGAAUCCUUCUACUGAGCAGUCUUCUCAAGCAGUCAUCUCAAAAAUGGAGAUAACACUACUCAUUUUAUGUUUUUUGCAGAAAGCUUUUAGAAUAGUGCGUGGGUUUAUUUUAAACUGAGAGUUUAAUAAAAAUUAGCCA
rnacentral:lncRNA from 1 species